UGAGGAACAUGACCUUCGGCGGGGGAUAGCCGGCCCAACGGCCGGGUAAUACCGCGUACGACCACAUGGGGACAUCCCUGAGUGGUGAAAGCAGCAAUGCGCCGAUGGAGUGCCUCGCGGCCUAUCAGCUAGUUGAUGAGGUAACGCUCACCAAGGCGACGACGGGUAGCUGGUCUGAGAGGAUGGCCAGCCACAGUUGGGACUGAGACACGGCCCAGAUCCCGUAACGGGG
rnacentral:rRNA from 1 species